GAUGAACGCUGGCGGUGUGCCUAAUACAUGCAAGUCGAGCGAACCACUUCGGUGGUGAGCGGCGAACGGGUGAGUAACACGUAGGUGAUCUGCCCAUCAGACGGGGACAACGAUUGGAAACGAUCGCUAAUACCGGAUAGGACGAAAGUUUAAAGGUGCUUCUGGCACCGCUGAUGGAUGAGCCUGCGGCGCAUUAGCUAGUUGGUAGGGUAAAGGCCUACCAAGGCGACGAUGCGUAGCCGACCUGAGAGGGUGAACGGCCACACUGGGACUGAGACACGGCCCAGACUCCUACGGGAGGCAGCAGUAGGGAAUCUUCGGCAAUGGGCGAAAGCCUGACCGAGCAACGCCGCGUGAAUGAUGAAGGCCUUCGGGUUGUAAAAUUCUGUUAUAAGGGAAGAACGACUUUAGUAGGAAAUGGCUAGAGUGUGACGGUACCUUAUGAGAAGGCCACGGCUAACUACGUGCCAGCCGCCGCUGUAAUAC
rnacentral:rRNA from 1 species